AACAUGACCUGAUGGGUUCUUUAUUCAUUUUUUUUGAUCUAAAUGGGUUCUUUAUUCAACACAAACCCAUGGAGUCGGCUUCUCAACUUUGUACUUCUCUCUCUCUCGUUCUUUACUGUCUCCGAUUUGAGCAGCGGUGCAGAGGAUCUUAGCUAGCACCAAGCGACGAAGAUUUUCAAGUCGGGUUCUCAUGCCGGAGUUUAUGGAUAUAAUAUUCCAGGUUCUCCGAUUUCCUUUUUUUUUUUUUUUUUUUUGCUGGUGUACAUGUAAUCUACACUUGAACAGAAUGUAAUCGUAAGCGCCUUUGAUCUGGUGGAGAAUGGAGUCUCUGAUAUACCAGUGGCCGUUUUUGUAUUCGGGUCGUCAAGUCAGGAAAAAGGCGUUCAAGUGCAGGUUCGGCAAGCAUCCAAAUCUGAAGGAGCUCGAACACGUCGCCGCCGUGAAUCGGAGUGGUCCAUGGAGCUUGAACCCGCCUAAUGCCUAACCGCCUAACCCCUCCCAGGCGCCUAGUCGCUCGCCUAGGCGGCUGCCUAACUCCAACCCGCCCAGCCCUCCAGAUUUGACAUUAAUCGGGUCGGACAGCUGCCGCCCAGCCCUCCCGAUUUGACAUUAAUCGAGUCGGACAGCUGCCGCCCAGGGCCUAGGCGGCGCCUAAGCGGCCUGGGCGGCUGAUUUUUAGAACAGAGUCUCUAUCUGUAAAGGUUUCAGCCUUGCAGACCUAAAAUUGCAGAAGCAACAAGGGAAAAGGAUGCUCAAUUGGCUCAACGCCGUGCACAGUACGGGGUCAAACAAAUUUAUGAUGCAAUUUGUAAUCGGAUAUCAAAUGAUAUCGAGCUUGCUCUUCGUGACUCAAUUUAUGGUUGAUUGCCUAAAAUAUACAGAAGCUUAGGAUUGAUCAAUGUGUUCUGUUCACGUAUUUUGUUUGUAUUGAGCAAGACUACCACAUAUUUUGUAGUGUACUGUGUACAUAUUAUUUUUCAAGGAAAUUAAUGGAACAUAUUAGCAAUAUACAAUCAUA